GAUGAACGCUGGCGGCGUGCCUAAUACAUGCAAGUCGAGCGAACGGACGAGAAGCUUGCUUCUCUGAUGUUAGCGGCGGACGGGUGAGUAACACGUGGAUAACCUACCUAUAAGACUGGGAUAACUUCGGGAAACCGGCGCUAAUCCCGGAUAAUCUUUUGAACCGCAUGGUUCAAAAGUGAAAGACGGUCUUGCUGUCACUUAUAGAUGGAUCCGCGCUGCAUUAGCUAGUUGGUAAGGUAACGGCUUACCAAGGCAACGAUGCAUAGCCGACCUGAGAGGGUGAUAGGCCACACUGGAACUGAGACACGGUCAAGACGCCUAAGGGAGGCAGCAGAAGGGAAUCUUCCGCAAUGGGCGAAAGCAUGACGGAGCAACGCCGCGUGAGUGAUGAAGGUCUUCGGAUCGUAAAACUCUGUUAUUAGGGAAGAACAGAUGUGUAAGUAACUGUGCACAGCUUGACGGUACCGAAUCAGAAAGCCACGGCUAACUACGUG
rnacentral:rRNA from 1 species